rnacentral:rRNA from 1 species
UACGUAGGGGGCUAGCGUUGUCCGGAAUCAUUGGGCGUAAAGAGCGUGUAGGCGGCCCGGUAAGUCCGCUGUAAAAGUCAAAGGCUCAACCUUUGAAUGUCAGUGGAUACUGCCGGGCUAGAGUCCGGAAGAGGCGAGUGGAACUCCUGGUGUAGCGGUGGAAUGCGCAGAUAUCAGGAAGAACACCAACGGCGAAGGCAGCUCGCUGGGACGGUACUGACGCUGAGACGCGAAAGCGUGGGGAUCAAACAGG